rnacentral:rRNA from 1 species
UUUCCGUAGGUGAACCUGCGGAAGGAUCAUUAACGAACGAACGAGUGACUAGCUUGUUUCGUGAAAAUUGGCAAGGAACGCGAAAGUCGGCGGCGACGUCGGCGUUUCGCUACGAGGCAUCGUCGUGCCGCUUCAUUGCGGUCGGCGCAAUCUCGGUGUGACAGCCGGGAGGUCGGUUCUGCUCAGUCGGUUGCCGUUGAGACGCGCAGUGCUCCGUCAAUCGAUAUAUUCUCGGCGUGAUGUCGAUCGUUGUGGGUGCCUACCUCGGUUUGAUAGCCGGGCAAAGCUUGCAUUCGCGAGGCUCAAAGAAUCGCACGCAUAUAGCGAUCGCCCUCAACGUUUCGCUCACGCUAUGUUUAUUACUACUUGCAACUGUUUACCCUGAUCGUUGCCUAUUGUGCAACAAAAAUUGAUACAACUCUAAGCGGUGGAUCACUCGGCUCGUGUGUCGAUGAAGAGCGCAGCCAGCUGCGUGAAUUAAUGUGAAUUGCAGGACACAUUGAACAUCGAUAUCUUGAACGCACAUUGCGGCCUCGGGCAAUACCGAGGCCACGCCUGUCUCAGGGUCGGUUAAACGACAGUCGCGAAUGGCGCUUCAGUUCGCGCAUUGGACGUCGCAGCUCCGGACGUUUCCUCUCGGGAUCGUCUCCAUUAUGGAAUGCUUCGCCGUCUUAAGUACAGACGAAGUUGGUCGAAAGUCCGUGACGCCUCGACGACGCUCGCAUUUUGGUGUGCAGGCAUUGGCGGCUGUUUCACAGCCGCGUGCACCUGGCGUCGUCCUGGCAAAGCGUGCUUCGGCCGUACGUCGAACACGGCGACGCUUUCGUCGCUGAUUAACUUACGUUUCGACCUGAGAUCAGACGAGAUUACCCGCUGAAUUUAA